AAAUCAACACUCUAUAAUAUAUACUCAAAAUGCUUGGAAAAAAGAAUAAGAAAAUCAACUCAAACAAAUUUGCAACAAAUAAAUAAAAUGAAAAAAUAAAUUCAACUAAAAAUUCAUAUGAAAAAAAUGAAGUUGCAAUUGCUAAAAAUUUAAAAAUCCUAUAAAUAAAUCAACUAAAAAUUGAUCUCAUAUGAAAAAAAAUCUCACAACAACAUUUAUACAAUUAUUAAGAACAAAAACAAUUAAAAAAAAUAAAAAACAAAUAUAGUGAAAAAAAUCAUGAAAAAAGAAG
rnacentral:lncRNA from 1 species